GCCGAAGUGCUGGAAUUGGCAGACAGGCAUGGUUCAGAACCGUGUGCCCUUUUGGGCGUGUGGGUUCAACUCCCACCUUCGGCA
rnacentral:tRNA from 1 species